UCUAGCCACAGUAGUGUAUGAAUAAAAGUGUCAUUUCUGGGCUGACUGUUAGUGUGAGACCCUUGGCGUUUUCUUCUAACAAAUUCCUCAUGUCCCUAACAGACAUUCCCUGAGCAUGAGCGCUGAGGAAACAGAAUGUGAGGAACUGGAGAGAUGAGCCAGACAUGCCCUCGGGAACUCGCGGUCUGGUAGACCUGCCCUGGCCUGGGCCAUCCCUGCACUCAUGAUGAGUCUAUGCCCCUCUGGGCUACCUUCCCCCAAAUUCAUGCUCUCCCUUGGAAAAGACUCCUCCUCUGACCAGAAACAGGCUCAGCACAUCACCUGCAGGUCUCUGGGCAACCAGAUACUGGCGUGACCAGAGCUGAAAGGACACUGGCUUCAUCCUCUUGUUCCAGGCAAAACAGCCUA